rnacentral:rRNA from 1 species
UACAGAGGUCUCAAGCGUUGUUCGGAUUCAUUGGGCGUAAAGGGCGCGUAGGCGGCCCGCUAAGUCGAACGUGAAAUCCCCGAGCUCAACUCGGGAACUGCGUCCGAUACUGGCGGGCUUGAAUCCGGGAGAGGGAUGCGGAAUUCCAGGUGUAGCGGUGAAAUGCGUAGAUAUCUGGAGGAACACCAGGGGCGAAAGCGGCCGACUGGUCGAGUACUGACGCUGAGGCGCGACGGCGUGGGGAGCGAUCCGG